rnacentral:rRNA from 1 species
UUAGCAGGAUAAGUGGCACUCUUUAAGCCACACNAAAUGGAGCAAUAACAGGUCUGUGAUGCCCUUAGAUGUCCGAGGCUGCACGCGCGCUACACUGGAGAGUUCAGAAUGUUUCUUCCUACUUCGACAGAAGUGGGUAACCAUGAAAUUCUCUUCGUGACUGGGAUCGGAGCUUGCAAUUAUUCUNNGUNAACGAGGAAUUNNUAGUAAGCACUAUUUCNUCAGAAUGUGCUGAUUAUGUCCCUGUCCUUUGUA